GAAAAAGAAAAUUCAAAAACGAAAGUAAACUUUGGAAAGGCACUGGACUGCAUUGAGAAAUAUGUGUCAUCUGCAAGUUCAACUGGAGCAUCAUCUCAAGGAAAAUUAGAGCAUAUUGUUUCAGCAGGAGCUCAGAUGAAAUCCUGUAUUGCAUAUCUGGAAUCUGAAAUCUCUGUAACAGAAACUUCUCGAGAAGAAAUCAAUGAAACCACAUUUCGGAAAUACAAGCAACUCUAUCUAAAAGAAUUGAAAAUUAGAAAAUUGUCAUACAAAAAACUAAGAGAAAUUCAUCAGAAUCUAACAGAAGACACUGCUGAUUUGCUUGAUGAAAAAAAGAGUAACAGAUCUUGAUGUAUCACUCUUGCCAUAAGCUGCUUCUGAAUAUGCAUCUGGAUUCGACAUAUCUUCUCCUUUAAUCAUAUGAUGUGUUAAAUGUAAACCAAGUUCUAGUUGGAAAAGCACAUGAGAAUAUAUACAAAUUUUACAGAAAAAAGUUCCAUAAUCAGAAAGAUAAUAAAAUGUUCUUACUGGGCUGUUUAAAUGGUGUACUGUUUUUCAUUCAAUGUAUCACAUGGGAGAAUCUUUGCGAAAAGAAAAUAAUUUAUACCAUAUCUUUAUAAUAAAAAUUUAUUUAUGUUUUAAAUAAUGUUUCUUGGCCUAUUAACUAUUCAGUGAAUUUUGCAGUUGAAGCCAGUAUUGCUGCGUUUCCAUAUACAAACUGCCCUCAUGCCAGCUGCUUAGCAACCAAACCACCAAGUUGUCAUUGAUAUUUCAAUGGAGUUGAGAGUUAGGUUAUUUGUAUUUUAUAGCUAGUAUAAUAAUAUGUAGUAAUAGAUUCAAAUUUAUUUUUUUAAUUCUUUAUUAAAUCAUAACUGUCUACAUUAAUGCAUUUACAGGGUACAAUGUGCUGAUU